rnacentral:rRNA from 1 species
CGGCACGGGUGAGUAACACGUAUCCAACCUGCCGUCUACUCUUGGACAGCCUUCUGAAAGGAAGAUUAAUACAAGAUGGCAUCAUGAGUCCGCAUGUUCACAUGAUUAAAGGUAUUCCGGUAGACGAUGGGGAUGCGUUCCAUUAGAUAGUAGGCGGGGUAACGGCCCACCUAGUCUUCGAUGGAUAGGGGUUCUGAGAGGAAGGUCCCCCACAUUGGAACUGAGGCACGGUCCAA